rnacentral:tRNA from 1 species
GUUCGGGUAGAUCGGCGACCGGCCCGUUCUCGUCGGGGUAGCCGAGGAUGAAUUCGCCGGGCUCGAGUGCCGCCCCCGACCCGGGGG